AUGCAGAAGGCCCUUACCACUCUCUACCAGAAAGGAGAUUCCAGAAAUAGACACUAUAUACAAAUCACUUCUUUGUACAGUGAAGGACAGGAAGAACUCGUACAACAAAGACAGCAGGCAACAGUUAAAUACAAGGAGACUGAUUACCUCAGCGCACCUUUAUUCCAGGAGUUCUGCUCUGAAGUAAGGCUCCGAAUAUGAUUAUCCUGUUUUUACAGUUUUUUUUGUUUUGGUAUUCCUUUGGUUUAGUUGCACAGUUCCUGCAUGUGGCCUGUGUAAUUUACAAUUCAAACGUGAGAGCUCACUGAUGGCAUUUUAACGAACAACGAAUGAUGGAAGUGAACACAGAUUAAAACAAAAAAGACCUAAAACAGAAAACUUCAAAGCACACUCUCUAAAAAGAUUGCAACCCAGACACGAUUGUAGACAGGUUAAAUGAAAGAUGGAAGACAUCACAGGAGUGAGUGUUUUUAUCUUCUCAAAAGUCUGUGCCUCUGGCCCAUGUGCAUCUGUUAACUGGUAAUUCUAAUCUUUGAAAGUCCAUUUUCUCCCCC
rnacentral:lncRNA from 1 species